GCAAGUCGAACGGGAUUUGAGUAGCAAUACUUAAUGAGAGUGGCGCACGGGUGCGUAACGCGUAUGCAACCUACCUUUAACAGGGGGAUAGCUCCGAGAAAUCGGGAUUAAUACCCCAUAGUAUUAUUGAUUGGCAUCGAUUAAUAAUUAAAGCUCCGGCGGUUAAAGAUGGGCAUGCGUGCCAUUAGCUAGUUGGUGAGGUAAGGGCUCACCAAGGCGAUGAUGGCUAGGGGUUCUGAGAGGAUUAUCCCCCACACUGGUACUGAGACACGGACCAGACUCCUACGGGAGGCAGCAGUAAGGAAUAUUGGGCAAUGGACGCAAGUCUGACCCAGCCAUGCCGCGUGCAGGAAGACGGCCCUAUGGGUUGUAAACUGCUUUUAUCAGGGAAUAAACCCCCGGAUGUAUCCGGGGCUGAAUGUACCUGAAGAAUAAGCAUCGGCUAACUCCGUGCCAGCAGCCGCGGUAAUACGGAGGAUGCAAGCGUUAUCCGGAUUCAUUGGGUUUAAAGGGUGCGCAGGCGGAUUAUUAAGUCAGUGGUGAAAUCCUACAGCUCAACUGUAGAACUGCCAUUGAUACUGAUAAUCUUGAGUAUAUUUGAAGUGGGCGGAAUGUAGCAUGUAGCGGUGAAAUGCAUAGAUAUGCUACAGAACACCAAUUGCGAAGGCAGCUCACUAAACUAUAACUGACGCUCAUGCACGAAAGCGUGGGGAUCAAACAGGAUUAGAUACCCUGGUAGUCCACGCUGUAAACGAUGAUUACUCGUUGUUGGCGAUACACAGUCAGCGACCAAGCGAAUGUGAUAAGUAAUCCACCUGGGGAGUACGAUCGCAAGGUUGCAACUCAAGGAAUUGACGGAA
rnacentral:rRNA from 1 species